rnacentral:rRNA from 1 species
AUUAAACGCUGGCGGCAUGCCUUACACAUGCAAGUCGAACGGUAGCGCGGGGUAACCUGGCGACGAGUGGCGAACGGGUGAGUAAAGCAUCGGAACGUGCCCUGGAAUGGGGGAUAACGUAGCGAAAGUUACGCUAAUACCGCAUAUACUGUGAGCAGGAAAGCAGGGGAUCGAAAGACCUUGCGUUCGAGGAGCGGCCGAUGUCGGAUUAGCUAGUUGGUGGGGUAAAGGCCUACCAAGGCGACGAUCCGUAGCGGGUCUGAGAGGAUGAUCCGCCACACUGGGACUGAGACACGGCCCAGACUCCUACGGGAGGCAGCAGUGGGGAAUUUUGGACAAUGGGCGAAAGCCUGAUCCAGCCAUGCCGCGUGAGUGAAGAAGGCCUUCGGGUUGUAAAGCUCUUUCGGUGGGGAAGAAAUUGCACGGGAGAACACCCUGUGUAGAUGACGGUACCCGGAGAAGAAGCACCGGCUAACUACGUG